UCUGAGGAAUGACAACAAUAAAAGGCCAAACGACAGGGUCUCCAUUAGCAGUUAGCACUCUUUGUGGGCAAACAAUGACAAACUCUGAAAUGAACCACAGGUCAGCGUCAUG
rnacentral:snoRNA from 1 species